rnacentral:rRNA from 1 species
CCUACGGGUGGCUGCAGUGGGGAAUAUAGCACAAUGGGCGCAAGCCUGAUGCAGCGACGCCGCGUGAGGGAUGACGGCCUUCGGGUUGUAAACCUCUUUCAGUAGGGAAGAAGCGAAAGUGACGGUACCUGCAGAAGAAGCACCGGCUAACUACGUGCCAGCAGCCGCGGUAAUACGUAGGGUGCGAGCGUUAUCCGGAAUUAUUGGGCGUAAAGAGCUCGUAGGCGGUUUGUCGCGUCUGUCGUGAAAGUCCGGGGCUUAACCCCGGAUCUGCGGUGGGUACGGGCAGACUAGAGUGCAGUAGGGGAGACUGGAAUUCCUGGUGUAGCGGUGGAAUGCGCAGAUAUCAGGAGGAACACCGAUGGCGAAGGCAGGUCUCUGGGCUGUAACUGACGCGGAGGAGCGAAAGCAUGGGGAGCGAACAGGAUUAGAUACCCCAGUAGUC